rnacentral:lncRNA from 13 species
GAAAACUUCCCUUGUUUGGAGUUUAAGGAUUUCUUGGCCCAGAAAUCCAGCUCUUGAAGUUCCUCUUAGAUGGCUCACUUCUCAACCCCCUUCGUCUCCUUUCUCAGCAAGAGACUGAUCGGUCUUCUGGAAUUUUCCUCCCACCCUUCUGGCUUCUCCUUCUCCUUCAGAGCUCCUGCUACUGUCGCCAUUCCAGUAAGACACACUGCCUCUGUCUGCUCAGGCACUCUCUUCUCCCAAAUCAAGCAAGAGCAAAAAUUGGUGCAUUCUGUGUAACCAAAGCUCUCCUAUGUCCUGGAAGAAGGAAAGGAGGAGAGUGGGAGGGAGAAAUACAGAAAGAGAUGAAGGAGUUGAGAAGAGAAAGAACAGGAGGAGGGAAAGGAAGGAGGAAGAGAAAAAGAAAGCAAAAAUGAUUUUGUAAUAACCAUCUUCCUUGUCUGGCAGACAGAUUAUUUUUUUCCAGAAAAUAUCUUCCUUAGAUUGACCAAUACAGAAACUUCAAGAGAGAAAGAACUAAGCCUGAUUUUUAAGAUUUUUUUCUUCUUUUUCUUUUUUCAUGUUCAGUCACCUUAGUUUCAGAGGCUAUUUCUGUAAGCUGCAUCAGCUGGACCUGGACCAUAUGGCAGAGGCAGCAUCUAUGCCUGAUGAUUCAAUUGACCCGGUGGAUGACUAGAUAGUUUUAAAAGCCCUUUGUAUCCUCACAGGUCAUUUGUCUAUAUCAGAUGCAAAAGGAAGCGCUGCAGCCACCUCAGAUCACCCUGGAAUGCCCUCCCAGAUGGACCAGACUCCAUGUUUUGUCAAGGAAAAUUGAACAUUACCUGAUGCCUCAGGAGUUAAACAGAGGCAUGCAUAUGCUUGGCUUCAGACACUGUGUCCCCAGCCUCCUCCCCUUCUUCAUCGGGCAGCAAGAGAGAGCCCACAGAGAGCAAGCCACACACCCUCGCCCAGCAGUGACAGAGCGAGCCCCCUGCCCAGAGCCGGCUAAGACCAACCUCAUCAUUACAACCAUUUCGGAGAGUCUUGCUGAAAGGCUGGGCACUUUGAAGAGAAGCACGGCCUCAGUAAGGGACCACAUUGCCUGUGUCUCAGUCCUGGCCUUGCUGCUCACUAGCUAUUCUCCUCAGGCAAGUUUCCAAACUGUCAGCGCCUCACCUUCUUCA